ensembl:lncRNA
UGGUGGGGGGCAGGUUAAACCGGAUUUUGAACAUUAAACAGCAGUUCUUAAAUGUGAUCAGGUUGUCCCAACUUAAAAGUCUGUACUUAUGGAGGACUGAACAGUGAUGGUGUGAUUUAGGUUUUUUGUGAAGUAUUUUGAGAGCCUGUUUGUAAAGAGACAUGACUGGUUUAAGGGUAGUGGAGUUGGCAGUAGACCAGGUGGGUAAGCAGUAGUUAAUGUGAGAUCAAAUCAGCGAGAACAUGUACAUUUUAGCAGCCUCGGUGGACAUGUGAUUUCUAAGAUGCCUAAAGUUGGCCAAGGUGAAUUUUUGCAUAUUUUUUUAACAUGUUUUUUAAAAGUAAGUUGAUUAUCAAUCAAGAUACCAAGAUAUUUGUAUUCCUUCACAAUCUUGAUUCUUUGAUCAGAAAUAAACACAUCGGGUUCAGUGUGAGACUUGCUGGUUUUAGAAAAAAACAUAGCAACGGUUUUGGAAUUGUUGAGCUGAAGACAACAUUUGUUUAACCAGUCAGACACAUCAACCAUGACCUUUGUAAGCCUAGCAGCGACCUCUACAUUAUUCUUACCCCACCCAAAGAUCACAGUGUCGUGUGCGUACAUCAGAACCUCACAGUCUUGGCAUAAGGAUGGUAAAUCGUUAAUAUAAAGACUGAAAAGAAUUGGACCCAGGAUUGAACCUUGAGGAAUACCUGUAGACAGAUUUUUGAAGUCGGAUAAUAUAUUGUUUAUUUUAACACACACUGAGUUCGAGUUGAUAAGUAUGAUUUGAACCAGCUGGAUGCAGAAGAAGAGAAGUUAAACUGAUCAAACUUAGACUAAAGUAUGUUGUGAUUGACCGUGUCAAACGCUUUCCGAAGAUCUAGAAAUACUGCACCCACAACUCUUCCUCUAUCCAUAAGGGACUUGACCAUGUGGGGUGUGGGGAUAGCUAGUGUGAGCGAACCGCUUUGAUGUGUGUUGAUGUAAUGUGUAAUGUGUGUGAGUUUGUCUUCAAAGAGCCUUACAGACACAUGUACACUCACACACAUUACACACAGGUAACCAAGGGAACCACUGUCAUAUGUGUUGAUGUAAUGUGUGAAUGAAGAUGAUUCUAGUGUGAGUUUGUCUCCAUUGAGCCUCAUUAAUGAUCUCAUCUCUGUUUCUGGUUUCUUUAGGUCUGCAGGCUGGUCAGAAGGCUGUGGGGGAGGAGAUGGAGAUGGGGAUAACUGCUGAAGAGAGGAAGAGGAUGGAGGAAUCGGUCCAGUCUCUGGCUUUGCUUGCAUGGCAGAGGGAGAAAAACAAACAACUGGAGGAGGAAAAUAUUAAACUUUUGGAAGAGAGAAAAGAGAGACUGGUGGAGAUGGAGAAGACAAAACAACAACUAGAGGAGAAGAACAAAGAGACGGAGGAAACAAAACAACAACUAGAGGAGAAGAACAAAGAGAUAGAGAAGACAAAACAACAACUAGAGGAGAAGAACAAAGAGAUGGAGAAGACAAAACAACAACUAGAGGACAAGAACAAGGAGAUAGAGAAGACAAAACAACAACUAGAGGAGAAGAACAAA